AUCCAGAUGACGAAUCCCAAAUGGGACGAAGCACGCGUCAAACCGGAU
rfam:Schistosoma curassoni strain Dakar, Senegal genome assembly, scaffold: SCTD_scaffold0000113